CCAAAGGCCCUUUUCAGGGCCACUUACCCAUUCACUUAAAGAGUUU
rfam:TPA: Bos taurus chromosome 23, whole genome shotgun sequence.